rnacentral:rRNA from 1 species
CCUACGGGUGGCAGCAGUGGGGAAUUUUGCGCAAUGCUCGUAAGAGUGACGCAGCGACGCCGCGUGAAGGAAGAAGUAUUUCGGUAUGUAAACUUCUAUCAGCAGGGAAGAAAAUGACGGUACCUGACUAAGAAGCCCCGACUAACUACGUGCCAGCAGCCGCGGUAAUACGUAGGGGGCAAGCGUUAUCCGGAUUUACUGGGUGUAAAGGGAGCGUAGGCGGUUCAGCAAGUCAGAAGUGAAAGCCCGGGGCUCAACUCCGGGACUGCUUUUGAAACUGUUGAACUAGAUUGCAGGAGAGGUAAGUGGAAUUCCUAGUGUAGCGGUGAAAUGCGUAGAUAUUAGGAGGAACACCAGUGGCGAAGGCGGCUUACUGGACUGUAAAUGACGCUGAGGCUCGAAAGCGUGGGGAGCAAACAGGAUUAGAUACCCUUGUAGUC